UACAGAGGUCUCAAGCGUUGUUCGGAUUCAUUGGGCGUAAAGGGUGCGUAGGCGGCGCGGUAAGUCGGGUGUGAAAUCUCGGGGCUUAACUCCGAAACUGCAUUCGAUACUGCCGUGCUUGAGGACUGGAGAGGAGACUGGAAUUUACGGUGUAGCGGUGAAAUGCGUAGAUAUCGUAAGGAAGACCAGUGGCGAAGGCGGCGCUCUGGGCCGGUACUGACACUGAGGAGCGAAAGCGUGGGUAACAAACAGG
rnacentral:rRNA from 1 species